rnacentral:rRNA from 1 species
UGGCGGACGGGUGNGUAACGCGUGAGCAACCUGCCCUUCGGAACGGGAUAGUGUCUGGAAACGGACAGUAAUACCGUAUAACGAUUUUUACCGCAUGAUAGAAAUACCAAAACUGAGGUGCCGAAGGAUGGGCUCGCGUCUGAUUAGAUAGUUGGUGGGGUAACGGCCUACCAAGUCGACGAUCAGUAGCCGGACUGAGAGGUUGAACGGCCACAUUGGGACUGAGACACGGCCCAGACUCCUACGGGAGGCAGCAUG